GACAGAGGAUGCAAGCGUUAUCCGGAAUGAUUGGGCGUAAAGCGUCUGUAGGUGGCUUUUUAAGUCUGCCGUCAAAUCCCAGGGCUUAACCCUGGACAGGCGGUGGAAACUACCAAGCUGGAGUACGGUAGGGGCAGAGGGAAUUUCCGGUGGAGCGGUGAAAUGCGCAGAUAUCAGGAAGAACACCUAUGGCGAAGGCAGCUCUCUGGGACGGUACUGACGCUGAGGAGCGAAAGCGUGGGGAGCGAACAGG
rnacentral:rRNA from 1 species